rnacentral:rRNA from 1 species
UAGGGAAUCUUCCGCAAUGGACGCAAGUCUGACGGAGCAACGCCGCGUGAGUGAAGAAGGAUUUCGGUUCGUAAAACUCUGUUGUUAGAGAAGAACAGCGCAUAGAGUAACUGUUAUGCGUGUGACGGUAUCUAACCAGAAAGCCACGGCUAACUACGUGCCAGCAGCCGCGGUAAUACGUAGGUGGCAAGCGUUGUCCGGAUUUAUUGGGCGUAAAGCGAGCGCAGGCGGUCAAUUAAGUCUGAUGUGAAAGCCCCCGGCUCAACCGGGGAGGGUCAUUGGAAACUGGUUGACUUGAGUGCAGAAGAGGAGAGUGGAAUUCCAUGUGUAGCGGUGAAAUGCGUAGAUAUAUGGAGGAACACCAGUGGCGAAGGCGACUCUCUGGUCAGUAACUGACGCUGAGGCUCGAAAGCGUGGGUAGCAAACAGGA